rnacentral:rRNA from 1 species
AGAGUUUGAUCCUGGCUCAGGAUGAACGCUAGCGGCAGGCUUAACACAUGCAAGUCGAGGGGCAGCAUAAUGGAUAGCAAUAUCUAUGGUGGCGACCGGCGCACGGGUGCGUAACGCGUAUGCAACCUACCUUUAACAGGGGCAUAACACUGAGAAAUUGGUACUAAUUCCCCAUAACAUUCGAGAAGGCAUCUUCUUGGGUUAAAAACUCCGGUGGUUAAAGAUGGGCAUGCGUUGUAUUAGCUAGUUGGUGAGGUAACGGCUCACCAAGGCAACGAUACAUAGGGGGACUGAGAGGUUAACCCCCCACAUUGGUACUGAGACACGGACCAAACUCCUACGGGAGGCAGCAGUGAGGAAUAUUGGUCAAUGGACGCAAGUCUGAACCAGCCAUGCCGCGUGCAGGAAGACGGCUCUAUGAGUUGUAAACUGCUUUUGUACGAGGGUAAACUCACCUACGUGUAGGUGACUGAAAGUAUCGUACGAAUAAGGAUCGGCUAACUCCGUGCCAGCAGCCGCGGUAAUACGGAGGAUCCAAGCGUUAUCCGGAUUUAUUGGGUUUAAAGGGUGCGUAGGCGGUUUGAUAAGUUAGAGGUGAAAUCCCGGGGCUUAACUCCGGAACUGCCUCUAAUACUGUUAGACUAGAGAGUAGUUGCGGUAGGCGGAAUGUAUGGUGUAGCGGUGAAAUGCUUAGAGAUCAUACAGAACACCGAUUGCGAAGGCAGCUUACCAAACUAUAUCUGACGUUGAGGCACGAAAGCGUGGGGAGCAAACAGGAUUAGAUACCCUGGUAGUCCACGCAGUAAACGAUGAUAACUCGUUGUCGGCGAUACACAGUCGGUGACUAAGCGAAAGCGAUAAGUUAUCCACCUGGGGAGUACGUUCGCAAGAAUGAAACUCAAAGGAAUUGACGGGGGCCCGCACAAGCGGAGGAACAUGUG